rnacentral:rRNA from 1 species
UACGUAGGGUGCAAGCGUUGUCCGGAAUUAUUGGGCGUAAAGAGCUCGUAGGCGGUUUGUCACGUCGGCCGUGAAAACUCAGGGCUUAACCCUGAGCCUGCUUCCGAUACGGGCAGACUAGAGGUAUGCAGGGGAGAACGGAAUUCCUGGUGUAGCGGUGGAAUGCGCAGAUAUCAGGAGGAACACCGGUGGCGAAGGCGGUUCUCUGGGCAUUACCUGACGCUGAGGAGCGAAAGUGUGGGGAGCGAACAGG